rnacentral:piRNA from 1 species
UAAGCUGCAGGUCUGUCAUUCUUGUGG